GACGAACGCUGGCGGCGCGCUUAACACAUGCAAGUCGAGCGAGAACCUGGGCUUCGGCCCUGGGGACAGCGGCGAACGGGUGAGUAACACGUGGGUAAUCUGCCCUUGACAUCGGGAUAGCCCGGGGAAACCCGGAUUAAUACCGAAUAGCCUCCGGAGCCUUCGGGCGCCGGAGAAAAGGUAGCUUCGGCCUCUGGUCGAGGAUGAGCCCGCGGCGGAUUAGCUUGUUGGCGGGGUAACGGCCCACCAAGGCGACGAUCCGUAGCUGGUCUGAGAGGACGAUCAGCCACACUGGGACUGAGACACGGCCCAGACUCCUACGGGAGGCAGCAGUGGGGAAUCUUGCGCCAAUGCGGGAAACCGUGACGCAGCGACGCCGCGUGGGGGAAGAAGGCCUUCGGGUUGUAAACCUCUCUCAGGAGGGACGAAGCCACUCGGGUGAAUAGCCCAGAGCGUGACGGUACCUCCAGAAGAAGCCCCGGCUAACUACGUGCCAGCAGCCGCCGUAA
rnacentral:rRNA from 1 species